UUGAACGCUGGCGGCAGGCUUAACACAUGCAAGUCGAGCGGUAGCACAGGGGAGCUUGCUCCCUGGGUGACGAGCGGCGGACGGGUGAGUAAUGUCUGGGAAACUGCCUGAUGGAGGGGGAUAACUACUGGAAACGGUAGCUAAUACCGCAUAACGUCGCAAGACCAAAGAGGGGGACCUUCGGGCCUCUUGCCAUCAGAUGUGCCCAGAUGGGAUUAGCUAGUAGGUGGGGUAAUGGCUCACCUAGGCGACGAUCCCUAGCUGGUCUGAGAGGAUGACCAGCCACACUGGAACUGAGACACGGUCCAGACUCCUACGGGAGGCAGCAGUGGGGAAUAUUGCACAAUGGGCGCAAGCCUGAUGCAGCCAUGCCGCGUGUGUGAAGAAGGCCUUCGGGUUGUAAAGCACUUUCAGCGAGGAGGAAGGUGGUGAGCUUAAUACGUUCAUCAAUUGACGUUACUCGCAGAAGAAGCACCGGCUAACUCCGUG
rnacentral:rRNA from 1 species